CUGUAGCUCAGUCGGAUAGAGCACUGGCCUUCUAAGCCAGGUGUCAUGGGUUCGAAUCCCCUCAG
rnacentral:tRNA from 1 species